rnacentral:miRNA from 1 species
CAGACGAGGUGAAAGAUGAGCUUU